UCACCUUCUGUUUCUAUUCCCGGAACAGAUGAACCUUCCAUUCUAACCCCUCCAGUUCCUCCACAAAAUCCACCAUCUGCCUCAGGUUCCAAGGGUAAGGAACAGGAAACUUCGGAUGAUGCUAGCUGGGUAAAUGAUGUUUGUCUUCCUGCUCAACAUAUGAUCAAAUUUUAUAAUCAUCUUUGUAAUACCCCAUAUUUUUAAUAUUUAUUUAAAUAAUAAAAUAUUUAUUUAAAUAAUAAAAUAUUUAUUUUAUAUUUAUUUUCUAAAAUAAAUAUUUUAAGCAAAGGGUAUUUUAGUAUUUUCAAUGAUUUUUAAUUUUUUUGGCGGGAAUAUGGCGCCAAAAUUGAAUUUGUUAAGCUUUUGGUAUUAAAUCCUAGUCAAAAAAUUUCUGAAAACCAAAAAAAAAAAAAAAAAAAAAACAUUUUUUUUUUAGGGGCCAUAUAUUCCUACGGGAUUUAUGGUGAAUGGAGGGAGUUUUGUUUUCCUAUAACUUCCAAAUUUAUGAUGGAUGUUACAAAUCUUGGUUUAAUCCCCUAAUUUAUGGUGAAGGUUACAAACUAUUUAAUUUUUGAAAUUAAGUACUAUCUAUUCUACUCCUAUAAAUACCCCACACCUUUAGCCAUCUUUUCCACACAAAAACUUUGAAGAAUCUAUAAUUUCUUACUUCAAAGUUCUUCUUUCUCUUCCUAUGUAUUCUAGUUUUAUAUUUCUUAUUCAAGUUUCAAUUUUCUUUUGUUUAAGAAAAAUAUUUUCAUAUUUCUUACUCAAAAAUAUUAUGCUCAUGAUAGAUCAUUCAUGUAUAAAUUCAAGAUUAAGUUCAUGUGGUAGAUUGCUUGUUGGUUGGCUAUGAGAAAGCUCAAGUAUAAGAAUAAGUGAAGAUACUAGUAUUAGUUUGUGCAAGAUCAAGAUUUGCAGGUGAAUUUUGGAUGUGCAUGGGAGCAUACUAGGAAGGGGAUCUUCACCUAGAUUAGAGUGUUUCAUUUAUUUUGAGUAUUGAGACAAUAUUUACUUUUAUUAAUAAAGAAGUAUUAUUAUUUUUGGUUAAAGUCUUCCGCUGCAAGUUAUUUUGGUUAGUUAGUAGUUGGUUGCCGAAAGCGUGUUAGUCACGUGGCGGUAAUACUCCUAAAUUACUCAAAUAUUAUUUAUUAAAUUAUUUAUUUAAAAGUGAGUAAUUUGGGGGUGUUACAAAGUGGUAUCAGUUUUUCAGGUCUUGAAAAGAUAAAAGUUGAAUAUUAAAAUUGAUGGGUAGACAUAGGAUGGGUAGAUAAGAGUUUCGCAUUUGCAUUCUAAAUUGUUUUUGUUAAGCUUAAUUGUUUUCUUUUUGACGAUUUGUAUAGAUGCAUCUUGCUAGUACCACAAAAAGGUAUAUAUAUUUAUAUUAUUAUUUUUAUUUUGAAAGAUGAAGGGUGUAGAUAUGUUGGGGUGACAAGCUCUGUCUAGGAUUAGGAAGGCUCUCCCCGACGCUGUGGGUAACUUCCUUACCUGGGAGCUAUAAUCACCUUGGCUAUUCUAUAUCUUGAAAUCAAGUACACUUUAAAAUUUUUGAAAUAAAUAUUUUAAGCCAUAGUGGUGCAUCUAGUACAAAUCUUAAACUAUAUAUAUUUAGUUAUCAUAUAUUAGUAUUACUUUUAUGAUGA